rnacentral:rRNA from 1 species
GGUUAAGCGACUAAGCGUACACGGUGGAUGCCCUGGCAGUCAGAGGCGAUGAAGGGCGUGCUAAUCUGCGAUAAGCGCCGGUAAGGUGAUAUGAACCGUUAUAACCGGCGAUACCCGAAUGGGGAAACCCAGUGUGACUCGUCACACUAUCAUUAACUGAAUCCAUAGGUUAAUGAGGCGAACCGGGGGAACUGAAACAUCUAAGUACCCCGAGGAAAAGAAAUCAACCGAGAUUCCCCCAGUAGCGGCGAGCGAACGGGGAGGAGCCCAGAGCCUGAAUCAGCAUGUGUGUUAGUGGAAGCGUCUGGAAAGGCGCGCGAUACAGGGUGACAGCCCCGUACACAAAAGCGCAUGUGCUGUGAGCUCGAUGAGUAGGGCGGGACACGUGGUAUCCUGUCUGAAUAUGGGGGGACCAUCCUCCAAGGCUAAAUACUCCUGACUGACCGAUAGUGAACCAGUACCGUGAGGGAAAGGCGAAAAGAACCCCGGCGAGGGGAGUGAAAAAGAACCUGAAACCGUGUACGUACAAGCAGUGGGAGCACAGGUUUACCUGUGUGACUGCGUACCUUUUGUAUAAUGGGUCAGCGACUUAUAUUCUGUAGCAAGGUUAACCGAAUAGGGGAGCCGGAGGGAAACCGAGUCUUAAYUGGGCGUUAAGUUGCAGGGUAUAGACCCGAAACCCGGUGAUCUAGCCAUGGGCAGGUUGAAGGUUGGGUAACACUAACUGGAGGACCGAACCGACUAAUGUUGAAAAAUUAGCGGAUGACCUGUGGCUGGGGGUGAAAGGCCAAUCAAACCGGGAGAUAGCUGGUUCUCCCCGAAAGCUAUUUAGGUAGCGCCUCGUGAAUUCAUCUCCGGGGGUAGAGCACUGUUUCGGCUAGGGGGCCAUCCCGGCUU